CUCUCCACUUCGCCAUUUACCGCGCCGGUGCUUCUCGUCCGCAAGUCAGACGGCACAUGGCGUUUCUGCAUCGACUACCGUGCCCUUAAUGAUGUCACACUUAAGGACAAGUUCCCUAUUCCGGUGGUCGACGAGCUCCACGGGGCGCGCUUCUUCACCAAACUUGACCUCCGGUCGGGGUACCACCAGGUGCGCAUGCACCCGGAUGACAUCGCCAAGACGGCGUUUCGGACUCAUCACGGCCACUUCGAGUUCUUGGUGAUGCCCUUUGGCCUCACCAACGCCCCGGCGACCUUCCAGGCUUUGAUGAAC
rnacentral:rRNA from 1 species